AACUAGUCAGUACUUACAGGAUUUAACCUAACCUAAAAGCUUUAUAUAUACCUUUUGUCUCAGGAUUUAUUAAAAUAAACAUCUAUAAAAAUAUCUCGGGGCUCAUACGAACUAAUUACGCACUAUUUAAUAAGUGUUUAUUAUUUUUAGAAGUGAAACUCUACGAGUUGAACUAACUAGUUAUGGUUUAUUAAGGGAGCAAGUCUCUUUUUAACUAGUAAUUUAUAUAACUUUAUAAUACAUAGCUUUUAUAUUAAGGUCAUUAAUUGUUUGUUACAAAUAAUGUAAGGUUAAAUAUAAAAUAUAGCGAGUAAGCAAUAAAAUCUAUAAUUAAUUAAGGUCUCUUAUAAUGAUAAAAUUACUAUUAAGAAUCUACUUUCUUAAGUAACUAGGACUGCUAUUGAAUGUUUAUCAAAAACUUUUCUUUUUGUUGUUUAGAGGGUAAGGCCUGCCCAGUGAAUUUUAAACGGCUGCGGUAUCCUGACCGUGCUAAGGUAGCAUAAUCAUUUGUUUUUUAAUUGAUAACUGGAAUGAACGGCUUAACAAUUGUCUUUUAUCUAAGUUAGAUUAAAUAAUUUGGGGUUAGAGUAAAAACACUCUAAUACGAGAGGGGGACGAUAAGACCCUAGAAGCUUUAUAAUUAAAUUAAGUACAUUUUUUUUAUAAUAAGUACUUAUAUAAAUUAUUUAACUGGGGCGGUGGUGAUAUACAAACUAUUAUUUUAUAAAACAAUUGGUUUAAAGUUCCUUUAUAUAAGGAAAGAUAGGUUAAGUUACUCUAGGGGUAACAGCGUAAUAUCUAUGGAAAGCCCAUAUUUAUAUAGAUGAUUGCGACCUCGAUGUUGAAUUAAACCAUCAUUAUAGAGCAGAAACUAUCAAUGAGAGUUUGUUCAACUUUUAAAUUUUUACAUGAUUUGAGUUCAAAUCGGUUUAAGCCAGAUUGGUUUCUAUCUUCUCAAACAUAACAGCUCUUUUAGUACGAAAGGACCAAAGGGUGUUUA
rnacentral:rRNA from 1 species